ACUCGCAGGCACCCAGCUCGCCCGCGGCUGCGGAGGUCCUCGGAGGAGCCCACCCGGGAGGGGGUCUGGACGCAGGCAGCGGGGGCAGAGGGAGGGUCGAAGCCGCUCCAGAGGGUCCAGGUCCGAGGAGGAGCCCUCGGAGACGCGGACGGUGCGCGCGGAGGGCAGGGCUAGGCAGUGACCCCGGGUGGCACAGGGCUUACUGUUUCUUCCUAAGACUCUAUGAGGCCACUUCUAAUCGUUUACUUUAGAAUAGGAAAGAAAACAUAGACAAAUGGGUGGCUGUCACCCAGGCAGCUACACGGUCGAUGCAGGUGCACAGGCGUGCGCGCCAUUCUCCCGUGUCACACAGCAGGACGGAAUAACUGCACGCACUGGGAGCGAUGGAUCUCGCGGUCCGGGAUCCGAGACGCAUUCAGAGACCAAAUGUCACCUCAUCCCUCCUCUAGCCAAUUCGAGCUUCCUCCGCGGACCCCCACCUUCCAUCCGAAGUGGCUCGGUCCUUAGUUGAGAGGACUCUGCCCAGACCCUCGCACCAGUAGAGACCUCUGCCCGGGCGCCUGCAACUCGGACGCUUCCCGGAGCCAGAGCGUGCGGGCGGCGCGGCCGCGAGGAGCCUCACCGGCCAUGCCGUCCGCAGUCUGACUUUUAUUUUUCUCUUCAGUGAUUAAAACAAAAUAUCGUGGACAGGGGGACAGAAAGGAAAGAGCAGGCGCCUGAGCCCGGGGAGCCGGGCGGGGGCCCCCGGGCCCCGCGGCCCCGCCGCCGCCCGCCCCCGCGCGCCUUCUCCCUCCUCCCGGGCCGAGCCGGCGCCACUGCGCCAGGAUGGAGCGAGCUCGGCGCGGGAGGAGAUGACGCAAAAGCCAGCGCUCCCCCCAAAAAAGUGUUUCUCCAGGACGAAGAUGGCGGCAACUUAGCCCGCGGACUGAAGAUGACUGUGGCUCUCGGGAGGCCCAGCCCAGGCGAUUCGGCCCGGAGCUCCGCGGGAGGCGGC
rnacentral:lncRNA from 10 species